AUGGCUUUCAUUGAAGGCAGCAAGGGCAUCUACGGACCCAUCAAGGUGAUGUUUGACACACCUAUUUAUGAAAGGGCUCUGCAGAUCUGCUGGCACAUCCUCUCCUACAAAAACAACAUUGCUAUGCUGACAGAACUGUUGAGGCUUCAGCAGGAAUACAGGAUCCCAUCUGAGGUGACUGUCGAGGACAUGACGGACCUGCUUCUAGAGGAGAGCAACAAGUCCCUCAGAAUGAGGUUCUGGGACUUUGAACGGGAGGGGUACGAUGAUGACGUCCAGCCGUUUCUCAAGAUGGUGAUGGAUGUUCUCACCAGCAUGAAGAUGAGAGACGUCCAGUUCGAAGCAAGGUGGCUGCUCGAGUGCCCAGAGGACAUCCCUCCUUGUUUCCAAAAUCCCAAGAUGGUGAACUUGGCUCAGAAGUUUGGACAGAUUCUGACGGAGCAGCUGCAGGCGACUCCCGGCUCCAAACUGCUCGGCCCGUGGGACGUGGUGGUGGAAGUGGUUCCAAAAGUCCUGCAGGGCUUCUGGUUGCCUCCUCCCACCACCUACCUCAACAUGCCCUCCCAGGAGCUCAGCGACAUGGCUGUUGGCUUCACAAAGGCUGUUAUAAAUCGUGUCACGAGGGCUCUGUCCGGUGGUCUGCAUCGAGUCAACGUCUCCCGCCCCAUCAGAGAUGCCGUGGUCCUGGCUGUUCAGGAGAAGGUCAGGCAGAUGUACCCCCAGGACAUCCUGAGGCAGAAGGUUGACUGUUUUGCAGCCCAGUUGCUGGACGAAAUAGCCGAAGCUGCCACAAGGGAGAUUUGUGCGCUUUUCCAGCCACAGGCCGACACUGACACUCCCUCGGUGCAGGACGGUGACGACACAGUCCAGAGGCCCACCGGGGACCAGACUCUCCUGUGGCUGCAGCUCCAUCACAUCACGCGACCUCUGCUGAUGAACCAGUCAGCCAGGUUGAGGCCGAGCAGCCUGCACCGAACUCCGGCACCAGCUCUGCUGAGAACAGUACUCCAGCUCUUACUUGGACUCCAGAUGAAUCACCGGCCAGAAUUGCCUUGA
rnacentral:lncRNA from 1 species